UGAAAAUUGAAAAAGGAAAAAGAAACCGAAUAAGGAAAUGAAAAUCGAAUAAGGAAAAAGAAACCGAAUAAGGAAAUGAAAAUCGAAUAAGGAAAUAGAAACCGAAUAAGGAAAAAGAAACCGAAUAAGGAAAUGAAAAUCAAAAAAGGAAAUAGAAACCGAAUAAGGAAAUGAAAAUCGAAAAAGGAAAUAGAAAACGAAUAAGGAAAUGAAAAUCGAAAAAGGAAAUAGAAACCGAAUAAGGAAAGGAAAAUCGAAAAAGGAAAUAGAAAGAAUAAGGAAAAAGAAACCAAAUAAGGAAAUGAAAAUCAAAAAAGGAAAUAGAAACCGAAUAAGGAAAUGAAAAUCGAAAAAGGAAAUAGAAAACGAAUAAGGAAAUGAAAAUCGAAAAAGGAAAUAGAAACCAAAUAAGGAAAUGAAAAUCAAAAAAGGAAAUAGAAACCAAAUAAGGAAAUGAAAAUCGAAUAAGGAAAUAGAAACCGAAUAAGGAAAAAGAAACCGAAUAAGGAAAUGAAAAUCAAAAAAGGAAAUAGAAACCGAAUAAGGAAAUGAAAAUUGAAAAAGGAAAUAGAAACCGAAUAAGGAAAUGAAAAUCGAAAAAGGAAA
rnacentral:lncRNA from 1 species